GCCUUGGCCUCCGAAAGUGCUGGGAUUACAGGUGUGAGCCACCGCGCCUGGCCUAUCACAAUUCUUGAUUGUUUAAAGUGCAAUUAUUUGGAGAAAAUAAUUUUAAAUGUUCUCUGGGAAUUUAUUGUAGAAAGCAGUUAGACUUUUACCAGUGGUCACAACUUCACUGAUGAGAAUGAUAACCCAUUAAUAAAACAGCCCUCUUCUUCUGAGACUUGAUUUUGAAUAUUCUGAUCUAGAUAGGCAGAUUCUAAAGCUACUCAACACCCCGAACCCUGUGACCACAUCUCCCAGAGCAGGGUACUGGGACUGGUUUCCGUUCCCUUGGCAUGUCCCUGAGGCAAUGCUUGAAGACACCUGUAAUUGCCACAAGACACAUUUUCCUAACCCCCAGGCUGCCAGUCAAUUGCUAGUUACCAGCUUCUGAAAACCAUACAGGGAAGGGAUUAAGAAGUGGGCUCUGGAAUUAAGCCACCUCGUUCAGUUCCUGGCCCUGCCACUCACUAAGGGAUAUUGAGCAAGUUACUUAGCUUCUGUGCCUGGAGUCUUACCCAAAACAUGCCGGUGAUAAUGACAGUGCCCGCUGUGAGGGUGAGGACCAAAGGCUCUAACACGGGGAUCCCGCUGGGCACAGUCAGGGUGAGCUGCCCUGCUAGCCUGCUGCCUAGUGUCCUGGGAGUCCAGUAAAAGCAAACCAGCACCUGCCUUGCUGCCUCUGGAGUCCCCUCUUUUCCAGAUAGAGUCCCCUUGGUAGGUGCCCUGACUCAAGGUGCCCAGGCCUCCUCCUCCUCCUCCAUAGCAGGAAGGAAGCUGGGCACCAGACCAAGAACUGGGAUGGGCCAGGCAGCAAGACUGUGGGCAGCCCAGGAAAGAGAACAAACCCACUGCCUGCCACAACAGCUGUGGGAAGGGGCUGCUGCAGAGGAUGUAGGUGGCAGGGAGGGGACCAUGCCAGGACACUCACAGAGUAAGAAGCAGCGAGCUGAUGAGUCUUAGUCCCAGGAACAAAUGAACAUUACCAGCAAUAAAAUAAUGGCUGGUUUCUGAUUCUGCUAAGUAGUAGCAUAUUAAAGAAAACUGCCAUCCUGACACCCUUCUAGAUGAGAGGAUGCUACAUUCUGACUUGGGUUUCAGCCCAGCCAGUCCUGUGAGGUGGAAGUCUCAGAACCAUCCCCAGCUCAAGAGCAAAGUCUAUACUCCAUCCAGGGGCCUCACUCAGAGCAGAAAGUCAUCACGUGGACUCAACGAAUGCCCUUAGCUGUCUUCCUGGUGGACCAGUGACCACACCUCCCACUCCAGGGGCACUGGCAAAGCAGGGCACACACCCAGGUCAAUGCCAGGAGCCGGAUCUCCCAGUAAGACUAGGGGCACUGGUAGGAGCAUCAAGCAGGGGAUCCAGACCCUGCCUGCUGUCUGCAAAGAAGGUGGUACCCCACGGCCAGCUGGUCCAGCUCAGGCACAAAGUAUUCUUGGCCCUCAGGCCAGGGUCCUGACUGCCUCCGGUGGACAGAAGAGCAAGAGCGUCUGGAAAGCAACAGUGAGCUUGUCUCCAGCAUCCACAACAGCUCCAGUGCCGGGCUUACAUAUGGCAGCAUGCAGCCUUCCCACAGCUGCCCUGUGACCUGGGUACUGAACCUCUCCCACCACCUCCCUCAGCCCCCACCCCCAGGUUAUGAAUGGGCUCUCCCGAUUAAAAGCAUGUUCUCACUGCUUGGAACAUGGUAGGUGCCUUAUAAAUGAUGGGUGGGUAGAUGGAUAGAUGGAUGAAUGGUUUUCCUAACAAAAUGGAGGACUUUGAUGAAUUGUCAUUAAUUCUCAUUGAUCUUCAGUAUUUUAUACUUCUGUAGCAAUUGGGAAUAGAAACUCUUUUAAAAAUGACAUGUCUUUAGGAUAUUUUUUCAUAACUACCUAGCACCCAGCAAUUCAUCACACUUAUUUUUCAUCUAAUAGGUCUUUUAUUGUUUUUGCUUUUUAAAUCUCUUUAGAUUUUCUAAGGAAGGUGAUGGGUUUGAUUAUUGAUUGAACUGAAUUUGAAUUGGAGGCAGAAAGCCUCAGUGGAGGAGUCUAACAGGCACCUCAGCACACACUACCGAUUAGUUAAAGGUGAUGAUAAAAUCAGGCAGCAUGCACAGAACAGAAAGGAGCCUGAAGGAAGGAACCUUGAGACACUUACAUGGGAAGGAUAAGAGGUGUGUAAGAACAAGUCAAGACAGAGAAGGGGUAGUUAGAGAGUCAGAAAAUAGAGACAUCUCCUGGAAGCCACAGAGUGAAGAGAGCAAGGUCAGGAAAGACUUUAAUUUGCAACUAGAAAAACACUGGUCAUUACAUUCUGCCAUUAAAAUUUGGCAAUUAAA
rnacentral:lncRNA from 1 species